rnacentral:tRNA from 1 species
GCGUCAGUAGCUCAACUGGAUAGAGCUGCGGUCUUCUACAUCGUAGGUUGCGGGUUCAAGUCCUGCCUGACGCACCA